CUAUUACCUGUGCCACUUGGAAACUGUCCCUUCCCUUCACUGGGCCUCAGUUUCUUCAUCUGUAAAAUGAGUUGACCCAAAUGAUCUCCAAAAGCCCUUCCAACUUGAAAUCUUAGGAUUUUUGUGAUCAUAUGAGGUGGAAGGGACCCGUGAGGCCCUCCAGUCUGACCUGUCCAAACUGAGGCAGGCCCGAAGACAUUGGGACUUCCCAAAGAUCACAGAUCAGAAGUGGCAGAGAUCCAAAUUCAGCUUAGCAUCCACUCCUCUAUAUCAAACAGCCCUAUGACUUCUGCUCUGCUACUCCCACCCCAGCUCAUGACAAGUCCCUCAAGGGGCCCAAGGUCUCCAGAAAUGGCUCUAGUUUUAAGUUCUUUUCCAGACAAGAAAAGGGACUGUUGAACCAGCCCCACAGACCUUUGGAGUCAGAGCUGAGACCCUCCACACUUCUACCUGGAGAGUAACACAUGUACACACACUAACACUCCCAGAACAACAGACACUGGCAUCAGCGGAGGCUCAGAUCCCAGGCGGACAGCUACCUCCUCCCUCUUUAAUACCUGAAGGAACUUAAGCAUUUGAAAAAUGACUUUCAUUAUCUCAUUUGAACCUUAUGACUCUCAAAGGUGCCUCGCCCAGGGUCACAUAGCUCAUUAAAUGUCCAAGGCACUAUUUGAACUGAGGUCUCUGCAUCUCACACUUGACUUUAGUCGCUCUUCCAUGUCCUCGGGCCAAUGAGACCUCCCUCCUCUCCACCAGGAGGUUUCCUAGGACCACCACUCCAUUCUCAGAAAUCUCAGAAGCAGCCCCCUUCCUCAUUCACCUUGUUCAUGUUCUGUCCCUCUGGAAGCCUCUGAUCUGAGCUAAGAGAGACCCAGGGCAGCGCUUAACAAAUGUUUACUGACUGACCGGCUAACUGACUCUGUCUUUGGGAAUUCAAUUCCCUCUCCUAGCUGCCAUCCUGUGCCUACUAUUUGUCAGGCCCUGUGCUAGGCUCUGGGGAUACAAAAAGAGGCAAAAGGCAGUCGCUGCCCUCAAAAGAGCUUACAGGCUAAUGGGGGGAAAUAUAUACAAAGCAAGAUAUAUGAGAUAAAUAGGAAAUAACAGAAGAAAAGCACUGGAAUUAAGAAGGGUCGGGAAAGGCUUGCGGUAAAAGAUGAAAUUUUAGUUGACCCUAAAACAAACCUGCUAAGUCAGCAGGUGGAGUUAAGGAAGGAGAGGAAGGGAGGAGGGAAGGACUUCUGGUCAAAUCACAGCAUCCCCAGGCCUGCUGCCAGCCAGCUUCCCUUGCCACCAGCCCAGCUGCUCUGUGAUCUUGAGGGAACUGAAAGCCAUAGUUCUCUGCUCCAGACAAGAGACAAAGGAUCCGCCCAGCUCAGCCUGCCCAAGGGAGUGGGGACAAAACCAGAAAUCCUAGUCUGGGAACCUUCUGCAAAGUCACUCAGUUGUCAAACAUGAAGAAAUUGACCCUGGUGGCUGUGGGCGCCGUGGCUGGAGGUGGGAAACCUAGCCCUCUCCAGAACAUACCUGAUUGCUGGCCACCCUUUCUGGAAAAACCCAGAAAUGGCUCCAGUUGCUGAACCUACUCCUCCCAGGAUAAUAUUCACCCCAGCCAAGAGUCCAGAUACAACUGGAAGAUGGAAGAAGAGAGACAAGAUGAGAUGGGAGAGGGACUAGACUUUGGGACCAUAGGCAGGUCAUGUCCCCUAAGUGGGCUCCAGGUUCCCCACUAGCAUCAGGAGAGACAUGGUCUGCAAGGACCCUUCUGGCUCUCAAGUUUGUUGACAUCCAAAAUAAAUAGCCAAAUACUGGGAAGUCCACAAAGAAGGAGGAAUUGGGGAAGCGGGUCUGCACAGCUCUUGAGGGGAGUGGAGAGGUAAAUAGCAACCUUUUGGGAAGCUCUCUAGCCUGGCUUUUAUCCUUCCCUUUCCCCUCUGCUGAGGUCAGGUUU